UCCAAGGUAUUACUGAUAUUAGACUUUACAGAGGAGACCACAUUGGGACUGAAGAAAAUGCCAGAUUUAUUGAAGUUCACCACUUGUCCAGAAGCAGCUGCAUAGGUAUUGAGAAUAGAUUUAAUACUAUCUGCUUCCUUCAGUCUAGCAUUAAAAAAUAGCAGAGAAUCAUCUGCAAAAAAUAAAUGUGAGAUCUUUGGGCAUCUAGCACUUGCCCUACAGCCCUGCAAACAGCCC
rnacentral:lncRNA from 1 species